rnacentral:rRNA from 1 species
GAUGAACGCUGGCGGCGUGCUUAACACAUGCAAGUCGAGCGAGAAGUUUUGAAAAGAUUCUUCGGAUGAAAUUUAAAAUGGAAAGCGGCGGGCGGGUGAGUAACGCGUAGGCAACCUGCCCCAUACAAAGGGAUAGCAUUUGGAAACGAAUAUUAAUACCUUAUGAAACUUAACUAGUGCAUGCUAGGUAGGUCAAAGAUUUAUCGGUAUGGGAUGGGCCUGCGUCUGAUUAGCUAGUUGGUGAGGUAACGGCUCACCAAGGCGACGAUCAGUAGCCGACCUGAGAGGGUGAACGGCCACAUUGGAACUGAGACACGGUCCAAACUCCUACGGGAGGCAGCAGUGGGGAAUAUUGCACAAUGGGGGAAACCCUGAUGCAGCAACGCCGCGUGAACGAUGAAGGCCUUUGGGUCGUAAAGUUCUGUUCUAGGUGAUGAAAACUGACAGUAACCUAGGAGAAGC